GACGAACGCUGGCGGCGUGCCUAAUACAUGCAAGUCGAACGAGAAUUUCUUACACCGAGUGCUUGCACUCACCGUAAAAAUUCGAGUGGCGGACGGGUGAGUAACACGUGGGUAACCUGCCCAAAAGAAGGGGAUAACAUUUGGAAACAAAUGCUAAUACCGUAUAACCAUAAUGACCGCAUGGUCAUUACGUAAAAGAUGGUUCUGCUAUCACUCCUGGAUGGACCUGCGGUGCAUUAGCUAGUUGGUAGGGUAAUGGCCUACCAAGGUGAUGAUACGUAGCCGAGUUGAGAGACUGAUCGGCCACAAUGGGACUGAGACACGGCCCAUACUCCUACGGGAGGCAGCAGUAGGGAAUCUUCCACAAUGGGCGCAAGCCUGAUGGAGCAACGCCGCGUGAAUGAAG
rnacentral:rRNA from 1 species